GACGAACGCUGGCGGCGUGCCUAAUACAUGCAAGUCGAGCGAGCGGAACUAACAGAUUUACUUCGGUAAUGACGUUAGGAAAGCGAGCGGCGGAUGGGUGAGUAACACGUGGGGAACCUGCCCCAUAGUCUGGGAUACCACUUGGAAACAGGUGCUAAUACCGGAUAAGAAAGCAGAUCGCAUGAUCAGCUUUUAAAAGGCGGCGUAAGCUGUCGCUAUGGGAUGGCCCCGCGGUGCAUUAGCUAGUUGGUAAGGUAAAGGCUUACCAAGGCGAUGAUGCAUAGCCGAGUUGAGAGACCGAUCGGCCACAUUGGGACUGAGACACGGCCCAAACUCCUACGGGAGGCAGCAGUAGGGAAUCUUCCACAAUGGACGCAAGUCUGAUGGAGCAACGCCGCGUGAGUGAAGAAGGUUUUCGGAUCGUAAAGCUCUGUUGUUGGUGAAGAAGGAUAGAGGUAGUAACUGGCCUUUAUUUGACGGUAAUCAACCAGAAAGUCACGGCUAACUACGUG
rnacentral:rRNA from 1 species